GUGAACGCUGGCGGUAGGCCUAACCCAUGCAAGUCGAACGGCAGCACAGUAAGAGCUUGCUCUUACGGGUGGCGAGUGGCGGACGGGUGAGGAAUACAUCGGAAUCUACUUUUUCGUGGGGGAUAACGUAGGGAAACUUACGCUAAUACCGCAUACGACCUACGGGUGAAAGCAGGGGAUCUUCGGACCUUGCGCGAUUGAAUGAGCCGAUGUCGGAUUAGCUAGUUGGCGGGGUAAAGGCCCACCAAGGCGACGAUCCGUAGCUGGUCUGAGAGGAUGAUCAGCCACACUGGAACUGAGACACGGUCCAGACUCCUACGGGAGGCAGCAGUGGGGAAUAUUGGACAAUGGGCGCAAGCCUGAUCCAGCCAUACCGCGUGGGUGAAGAAGGCCUUCGGGUUGUAAAGCCCCUUUGUUGGGAAAGAAAAGCAGCAGGUUAAUACCCCGCUGUUCUGACGGUACCCAAAGAAUAAGCACCGGCUAACUUCGUG
rnacentral:rRNA from 1 species